rnacentral:rRNA from 1 species
UGCAGAGGUGGCAAGCGUUGUUCGGAUUACUGGGCGUAAAAGGCGCGGAGGCGGUCUUCUUAGGCUUGGGGGAAAUCCCUCGGCUCAACUGAGGAACUGCACGGGAUACUGGAAGACUUGAGUUCGGGAGAGGGAAGCGGAAUUCCGGGUGUAGCGGUGAAAUGCGUAGAGAUAUGGAGGAACACCAGUGGCGAAGGCGACUUUCUGGUCUGUAACUGACACUGAGGCGCGAAAGCGUGGGGAGCAAACAGG